rnacentral:rRNA from 1 species
GGGUCAGUAGGUUGGUCGUGCCACCGGUACGUACUGGUCUCACUGAUUCCUCCUUCCUGAAGGACCGUAAUGCCAUUAAUUUGGUGUUGCGGGGAAACAGGACUGUUACUUUGAAAAAAUUAGAGUGUUUAAAGCAAGCUAACGCUUGAAUACAUUAGCAUGGAAUAAUGAAGUGGGACGAUCGAUCCUAUUUUGUUGGUUUCUAGGAUUGACGUA